rnacentral:rRNA from 1 species
CUCAGGAUGAACGCUAGCGGCAGGCUUAACACAUGCAAGCCGAACGGUAAGGCCCAGCUUGCUGGGCACACGAGUGGCGCACGGGUGAGUAACGCGUAUGCAACCUACCUUCAACUGGGGGAUAGCCCCGAGAAAUUGGGAUUAAUACCCCAUAAAAUAUCGAUUUCGCAUGUUAUCGGUAUUAAAGCCCCGGUGGUUGGAGAUGGGCAUGCGUGGCAUUAGUUAGUUGGUGGGGUAACGGCCCACCAAGGCGUCGAUGCCUAGGGGUUCUGAGAGGAUAGUCCCCCACACUGGUACUGAGACACGGACCAGACUCCUACGGGAGGCAGCAGUGAGGAAUAUUGGUCAAUGGGUGAGAGCCUGAACCAGCCAUGCCGCGUGCAGGAAUGACGGCCCUAUGGGUUGUAAACUGCUUUUCCUGGGGAAGAACCGCCCGGAUUAUUUCGGGUCUGACGGUACCCGGGGAAUAAGCACCGGCUAACUCCGUGCCAGCAGCCGCGGUAAUACGGAGGGUGCAAGCGUUAUCCGGAUUUAUUGGGUUUAAAGGGUGCGUAGGCGGGCCGGCAAGUCAGUGGUGAAAUCCCGCAGCUCAACUGCGGAACUGCCAUUGAAACUACCAGCCUCGAGUACGGUUGAAGUGGGUGGAAUGUGUCAUGUAGCGGUGAAAUGCAUAGAUAUGACACAGAACGCCGAUAGCGGAGGCAGCUCACUAAACCGAGACUGACGCUGAGGCCCGAAAGCGUGGGUAGCGAACAGGAUUAGAUACCCUGGUAGUCCACGCCGUAAACGAUGAUAACUCGAUGUGUGCGAUAUACAGUACGCGUCCAAGCGAAAGUGAUAAGUUAUCCACCUGG